AACAUCAUACUUUCAGGGUUCAUUUCUAGUUUGAUACUUGAGAAAUCUCUUAUGGAUCUGAUCGGUUACCCAAACCACGAUGAAGAGUGGC
ensembl:snoRNA U3 Small nucleolar RNA U3